GAUGAACGCUGGCGGCGUGCUUAACACAUGCAAGUCGAACGAGAAUCAACGGAUUGAGGAUUCGUCCAAAUGAAGUUGAGGAAAGUGGCGGACGGGUGAGUAACGCGUGAGGAACCUGCCUCGGAGUGGGGAAUAACAGUUGGAAACGACUGCUAAUACCGCAUAAGCCCACAGCUCCGCAUGGAGCAGGGGGAAAAGGAGUGAUCCGCUUUGAGAUGGCCUCGCGUCCGAUUAGCUAGUUGGUGAGGUAACGGCCCACCAAGGCGACGAUCGGUAGCCGGACUGAGAGGUUGAUCGGCCACAUUGGGACUGAGACACGGCCCAG
rnacentral:rRNA from 1 species